rnacentral:rRNA from 1 species
AUGAACGCUAGCUACAGGCUUAACACAUGCAAGUCGAGGGGCAUCAGGAAGAAAGCUUGCUUUCUUUGCUGGCGACCGGCGCACGGGUGAGUAACACGUAUCCAACCUGCCCUUUACUCGGGGAUAGCCUUUCGAAAGAAAGAUUAAUACCCGAUGGCAUAAUGAUUCCGCAUGGUUUCAUUAUUAAAGGAUUCCGGUAAAGGAUGGGGAUGCGUUCCAUUAGGUUGUUGGUGAGGUAACGGCUCACCAAGCCUUCGAUGGAUAGGGGUUCUGAGAGGAAGGUCCCCCACAUUGGAACUGAGACACGGUCCAAACUCCUACGGGAGGCAGCAGUGAGGAAUAUUGGUCAAUGGGCGGUAGCCUGAACCAGCCAAGUAGCGUGAAGGAUGAAGGCUCUAUGGGUCGUAAACUUCUUUUAUAUAAGAAUAAAGUGCAGUAUGUAUACUGUUUUGUAUGUAUUAUAUGAAUAAGGAUCGGCUAACUCCGUGCCAGCAGCCGCGGUAAUACGGAGGAUCCGAGCGUUAUCCGGAUUUAUUGGGUUUAAAGGGAGCGUAGGUGGACUGGUAAGUCAGUUGUGAAAGUUUGCGGCUCAACCGUAAAAUUGCAGUUGAUACUGUCAGUCUUGAGUACAGUAGAGGUGGGCGGAAUUCGUGGUGUAGCGGUGAAAUGCUUAGAUAUCACGAAGAACUCCGAUUGCGAAGGCAGCUCACUGGACUGCAAAUGACACUGAUGCUCGAAAGUGUGGGUAUCAAACAGGAUUAGAUACCCUGGUAGUCCACACAGUAAACGAUGAAUACUCGCUGUUUGCGAUAUACAGUAAGCGGCCAAGCGAAAGCAUUAAGUAUUCCACCUGGGGAGUACGCCGGCAACGGUGAAACUCAAAGGAAUUGACGGGGGCCCGCACAAGCGGAGGAACAUGUGGUUUAAUUCGAUGAUACGCGAGGAACCUUACCCGGGCUUAAAUUGCAGUGGAAUGAUGUGGAAACAUGUCAGUGAGCAAUCACCGCUGUGAAGGUGCUGCAUGGUUGUCGUCAGCUCGUGCCGUGAGGUGUCGGCUUAAGUGCCAUAACGAGCGCAACCCUUAUCUUCAGUUACUAACAGGUUAUGCUGAGGACUCUGGAGAGACUGCCGUCGUAAGAUGUGAGGAAGGUGGGGAUGACGUCAAAUCAGCACGGCCCUUACGUCCGGGGCUACACACGUGUUACAAUGGGGGGUACAGAAGGCAGCUAGCGGGUGACCGUAUGCUAAUCCCAAAAUCCUCUCUCAGUUCGGAUCGAAGUCUGCAACCCGACUUCGUGAAGCUGGAUUCGCUAGUAAUCGCGCAUCAGCCACGGCGCGGUGAAUACGUUCCCGGGCCUUGUACACACCGCCCGUCAAGCCAUGGGAGCCGGGGGUACCUGAAGUACGUAACCGCAAGGAUCGUCCUAGGGUAAAACUGGUGACUGGGGCU